CAGUCGCCGCGGUAACACGUAGGGGGCUAGCGUUGUCCGGAAUCAUUGGGCGUAAAGCGCGUGUAGGCGGUUUCUUAAGUCUGAUGUGAAAGCCCACGGCUCAACCGUGGAGGGUCAUUGGAAACUGGGAAACUUGAGUGCAGAAGAGGAAAGUGGAAUUCCAUGUGUAGCGGUGAAAUGCGCAGAGAUAUGGAGGAACACCAGUGGCGAAGGCGACUUUCUGGUCUGUAACUGACGCUGAUGUGCGAAAGCGUGGGGAUCAAACAGGAUUAGAUACCCCGGUAGUCCCUGUCUCUUAUAC
rnacentral:rRNA from 1 species